rnacentral:tRNA from 1 species
UCGCCCUUACAAGGCGAGGGUCACAGGUUCGAUCCCUGUACCACCCACCA